rnacentral:rRNA from 1 species
GACGAACGCUGGCGGCGUGCUUAACACAUGCAAGUCGAACGAAGAGCGAUGGAAGCUUGCUUCUAUCAAUCUUAGUGGCGAACGGGUGAGUAACGCGUAAUCAACCUGCCCUUCAGAGGGGGACAACAGUUGGAAACGACUGCUAAUACCGCAUACGAUCUAAUCUCGGCAUCGAGGAUAGAUGAAAGGUGGCCUCUACAUGUAAGCUAUCACUGAAGGAGGGGAUUGCGUCUGAUUAGCUAGUUGGAGGGGUAACGGCCCACCAAGGCGAUGAUCAGUAGCCGGUCUGAGAGGAUGAACGGCCACAAUGGGACUGAGACACGGCCCAGACUCCUACGGGAGGCAGCAGUGGGGAAUCUUCCGCAAUGGACGAAAGUCUGACGGAGCAACGCCGCGUGAGGGAUGACGGCCUUCGGGUUGUAAAGCUCUGUUAAUCGGGACGAAAGGCCUUCUUGCGAAUAGUGAGAAGGAUUGACGGUACCGGAAUAGAAAGCCACGGCUAACUACGUG